GCUUGCUGGGAAUGAUUAGUGGCGGCGGGUGAGUACCAUUUAGGAAUCUGCCUAGUAGUGGGGGAUAGCUCGGGGAAACUCGAAUUAAUCCCGCAUCCGACCUACGGGUGAAAGGGGGCGCAAGCUCUUGCUUAUUAGAUGAGCCUAAAUCAGAUUAGCUAGUUGGUGGGGUAAAGGCCCACCAAGGCGACGAUCUGUAACUGGUCUGAGAGGAUGUUCGGUCAAACCGGAACUGAGACACGGUCCGGACUCCUACGGGAGGCAGCAGUGGGGAAUAUUGGACAAUGGGGGCAACCCUGAUCCAGCCAUGCCGCGUGCGUGAAGAAGGCCUUUUGGUUGUAAAGCACUUUAAGCAGGGAGGAGAGGCUAAUGGUUAAUACCCAUUAGAUUAGACGU
rnacentral:rRNA from 1 species